GCCCUACGGGAGGCAGCAGUGGGGGAUAUUACACAAUGGGGGGAACCCUGAUGCAGCGACGCCGCGUGGGUGAAGAAGCGUUUCGGCGCGUAAAGCCCUGUCAGCAGGGAAGAAGAUGACGGUACCUGACCAAGAAGCCCCGGCUAACUACGUGCCAGCAGCCGCGGUAAUACGUAGGGGGCAAGCGUUAUCCGGAUUUACUGGGUGUAAAGGGGGCGCAGACGGCGAUGCAAGCCAGGAGGGAAAGCCCGGGGCCCAACCCCGGGACUGCUCUUGGAACUGCGUGGCUGGAGUGCAGGAGGGGG
rnacentral:rRNA from 1 species